UCAUUAAGUUGGGCACUCUAGGGAGACAAACCCUCUUUGAGGGUGGGAAGGUGGGGAUGACGUCAAGUCAGGAUGGCCCUUACGGCUAGGGCUGCACACGUACUACAAUGCCCGGUACAGAGGGACGCAAUACCGCGAGGUGGAGCAAAUCCUCAAAACCGGGCCCAGUUCAGAUUGUAGUCUGCAACUCGACUACAUGAAGUUGGAAUCGCUAGUAAUGGCGUAUCAGCUACGACGCCGUGAAUACGUUCCCGGGCCUUGUACACACCGCCCGUCACGUCAUGAAAGCCGGUUUCGCCCGAAGUGCGUUUGCCAACCAGCAAUGGAGGCGGCGCCCUAAGGUGAGGCUGGUGAUUGGGACGAAGUCGUAACAAGGUAACCGUAGGGGAACCUGCGG
rnacentral:rRNA from 1 species